GCAGUGGUGGUUCUGCAGUAGAGCUCUCUCCUUCCAUGUGGGAAACCCAGGUUUGAUUCCCAGCCAAUGCA
rnacentral:tRNA from 1 species